rnacentral:rRNA from 1 species
GAUUCCCCCAGUAGCGGCGAGCGAACGGGGAGCAGCCCAGAGCCUGAAUCAGUGUGUGUGUUAGUGGAAGCGUCUGGAAAGGCGCGCGAUACAGGGUGACAGCCCCGUACACAAAAAUGCACAUGCUGUGAGCUCGAUGAGUAGGGCGGGACACGUGGUAUCCUGUCUGAAUAUGGGGGGACCAUCCUCCAAGGCUAAAUACUCCUGACUGACCGAUAGUGAACCAGUACCGUGAGGGAAAGGCGAAAAGAACCCCGGCGAGGGGAGUGAAAAAGAACCUGAAACCGUGUACGUACAAGCAGUGGGAGCACGCUUAGGCGUGUGACUGCGUACCUUUUGUAUAAUGGGUCAGCGACUUAUAUUCUGUAGCAAGGUUAACCGAAUAGGGGAGCCGAAGGGAAACCGAGUCUUAACUGGGCGUUAAGUUGCAGGGUAUAGACCCGAAACCCGGUGAUCUAGCCAUGGGCAGGUUGAAGGUUGGGUAACACUAACUGGAGGACCGAACCGACUAAUGUUGAAAAAUUAGCGGAUGACUUGUGGCUGGGGGUGAAAGGCCAAUCAAACCGGGAGAUAGCUGGUUCUCCCCGAAAGCUAUUUAGGUAGCGCCUCGUGAAUUCAUCUCCGGGGGUAGAGCACUGUUUCGGCAAGGGGGUCAUCCCGACUUACCAACCCGAUGCAAACUGCGAAUACCGGAGAAUGUUAUCACGGGAGACACACGGCGGGUGCUAACGUCCGUCGUGAAGAGGGAAACAACCCAGACCGCCAGCUAAGGUCCCAAAGUCAUGGUUAAGUGGGAAACGAUGUGGGAAGGCCCAGACAGCCAGGAUGUUGGCUUAGAAGCAGCCAUCAUUUAAAGAAAGCGUAAUAGCUCACUGGUCGAGUCGGCCUGCGCGGAAGAUGUAACGGGGCUAAACCAUGCACCGAAGCUGCGGCAGCGACGCUUAUGCGUUGUUGGGUAGGGGAGCGUUCUGUAAGCCUGCGAAGGUGUGCUGUGAGGCAUGCUGGAGGUAUCAGAAGUGCGAAUGCUGACAUAAGUAACGAUAAAGCGGGUGAAAAGCCCGCUCGCCGGAAGACCAAGGGUUCCUGUCCAACGUUAAUCGGGGCAGGGUGAGUCGACCCCUAAGGCGAGGCCGAAAGGCGUAGUCGAUGGGAAACAGGUUAAUAUUCCUGUACUUGGUGUUACUGCGAAGGGGGGACGGAGAAGGCUAUGUUGGCCGGGCGACGGUUGUCCCGGUUUAAGCGUGUAGGCUGGUUUUCCAGGCAAAUCCGGAAAAUCAAGGCUGAGGCGUGAUGACGAGGUACUACGGUGCUGAAGCAACAAAUGCCCUGCUUCCAGGAAAAGCCUCUAAGCAUCAGGUAACAUCAAAUCGUACCCCAAACCGACACAGGUGGUCAGGUAGAGAAUACCAAGGCGCUUGAGAGAACUCGGGUGAAGGAACUAGGCAAAAUGGUGCCGUAACUUCGGGAGAA